AGAGAUAACAACACUCGGUUUAGGGCAGUAUUUGCUCAGAUUGGUGUUUUUUUGUUGUUGUUUUUGUGUUUUUGAGACAGGGUCUCUCACUCUGUCGCCCAGGCUGGAGUGCAGAGGCACGAUCUCAUCUCAUUGCAACCUCCGCCUGCCAGGCUAAAGCGAUCCUCUCACCUCAGCCUCCCACGUAGCUGAGGCGGGAGAAUCCCUUGAACCCAGGAGGCAGAGAUUGUGGUGAGCCAAGAUUGCACCAAUGCACUCCAGCCUGGGCAGCAGAGCAAGACAGUCUCAAAAAAUAAUAUAAAAUAAACAUAAAGGCAGUAACAAGCACUGGGGAAUACAUAGAGGAACUGGAAUCCUGGUACAUGCAUUGCUGUUGAGAAUGUAAAACAGUGCGGCCGCCGCGAUGCUCAAAACGUUCAACAGAAUUAUUGGGAACCCAGCAGUUCCACUUCUAGGCAUGUGUCCAAAAGAAUUGAAAAUAGGUGUUCAAAUACUUGCAUACAAAUGUCCAUGGCAGCACAGUUUACAAUAAACAAGUAGCAGGAACGGAGCACAUGUCCAUCAGUGAUGGAUGGACACACAAAGUGUGGAAUGUCCACACAACGGAAUAUUAUGCAGCCAUGAAAAGGACUGAGGCACUGAUUCAUGUGAAAGAACCUUGAAAACGUUAUGCUAAGUGGAAAGAGCCAGACACGAAGGCCGCAGAGUGUUGGUUCCAUUCACCGCAGGGGAAACGACCGGAACUGGUAGAGCCGCAGCACAGGAAGCCGACCCCGUUACCGGGGGCCAGGGAGGGGGAGUGGGGGGUGAUUGCUUCAGAGCCACAAGCCCCUUUGGGGGUGACAAUGUUUCAGAACUCCACAGAGGUGAUGGUUGGACAACGUGGUAAAUAACUAAACGCCACUGGAUUUCAUUCUUUAAAAUGGUUAGUUUUAUGUUAUAUGAAUUUCACAUCAAUAAAAAGCAAAGGUGAAAAGGCCUCACCAUACUUUCA
rnacentral:lncRNA from 1 species